UACGAAGGGGGCUAGCGUUGCUCGGAAUUACUGGGCGUAAAGGGCGCGUAGGCGGAUAGUUCAGUCGGGGGUGAAAGCCCGGGGCUCAACCUCGGAACUGCCUUCGAUACUGGCUAUCUUGAGUACGGGAGAGGUGUGUGGAACUCCGAGUGUAGAGGUGAAAUUCGUAGAUAUUCGGAAGAACACCAGUGGCGAAGGCGACACACUGGCCCGUUACUGACGCUGAGGCGCGAAAGCGUGGGGAGCAAACAGG
rnacentral:rRNA from 1 species